rnacentral:rRNA from 1 species
UACGAAGGGUGCAAGCGUUACUCGGAAUUACUGGGCGUAAAGCGUGCGUAGGUGGUUUGUUAAGUCUGUUGUGAAAGCCCCGGGCUCAACCUGGGAAUGGCAAUGGAUACUGGCAAGCUAGAGUGCGGUAGAGGGUAGUGGAAUUCCCGGUGUAGCGGUGAAAUGCGUAGAGAUCGGGAGGAACACCAGUGGCGAAGGCGGCUACCUGGACCGAGCACUGACACUGAGGCACGAAAGCGUG